GUCCCUGUAGCGUAAUGGAUAGCGCAUUGGACCAUUAAUCCAAAAGCCGUGGGUUCGAAUUCCACCUGGGAUG